rnacentral:sRNA from 1 species
UACCCAAUGGGAAGAGGAAAAGAGGACUCAAUGACAACCGGAAAGGACUAGACCAAAAUAUUGUGGGUGCAAUAAAAGUCUUCACAGAAAAGUACUGUACAGCUAACCAUGUGGAUAAGCUUCCUGGCCCAAGAGAUUGGGUACAGAUUCUACAGGAUCAAAUUAAACUGGCCAGAAGAAGGUUAAAAAGAGGCUCAGAGAUCGCGGACAGUGAUGAAAGACUGGAUGGCAUUUCUCUACCACCAACAGGACUCUACUGACUUCCCUCCAAAGGAUAUCUGAAGAUUCUCUGCCCACAAAACCCAGGAAAAAAAGCCUGAGGCCCAGAAACAUUAAGUGGCUUUCCCACGGCCUCACAGCUGGUUGACGGCCUGGCCGGAACCCAGGUCCCUCGACUCCCAGCCAUGAUACCGUAUAGCUUUCUCAUACCUAAGCCAAAGCCAGCUUUUCUCUGCAUGUUUCUUAAAGAUCCUAAGAGAUGAUGGAUGUGCUAAUCCCUUUAGGAGUCCUCUUCACUGUCUCAGUCUUCACAAUUAAAAUGUUCGUCGUCA